ACUCAAACUUGUGCACAGGGGAAUAGCAGGUUAUGCGUCUCCGUGAGAGACUACUACUAUUACAUGCUGCAAACACGGCCUGCGAUCUUCAAUCCAAUACUCUGUGGAGCACGCCUACUGCAGCAAUGGGCGGUUGACAUGUACAUAAAGAUUGAGAGCUGUCGGUUGAGGUGGUACAGGAAGAACCAGACGCAGAUCCAUGCCGAUUUGUAUAAAGGAGUUGUUGAUGCGAUCACAUCGGGGGAGAUGCGAGCAAGCGUUGUUGGGGUGAGAAUAGUG
rnacentral:rRNA from 1 species